rnacentral:rRNA from 1 species
GAUGAACGCUAGCGGCAGGCCUAACACAUGCAAGUCGAGGGGCAGCAUAGAUUGCUUGCAAUCUGAUGGCGACCGGCGCACGGGUGCGUAACGCGUAUACAACCUACCUUUUACAGGGGGAUAGCCCGGGGAAACCCGGAUUAAUACCCCAUGGUACGGGGGCAACACCUGUUGCCCCUGUUAAAGUUUCGGCGGUAAAAGAUGGGUAUGCGUCCCAUUAGCUGGUAGGUAAGGUAACGGCUUACCUAGGCUAUGAUGGGUAGGGGCCCUGAGAGGGGGAGCCCCCACACUGGUACUGAGACACGGACCAGACUCCUACGGGAGGCAGCAGUGAGGAAUAUUGGACAAUGGGCGUGAGCCUGAUCCAGCCAUGCCGCGUGCGGGAAGACGGCCCUAUGGGUUGUAAACCGCUUUUAUACGGGAAGAAACACCGCCACGUGUGGGGGUUUGACGGUACCGUAGGAAUAAGGAUCGGCUAACUCCGUGCCAGCAGCCGCGGUAAUACGGAGGAUCCGAGCGUUAUCCGGAAUCAUUGGGUUUAAAGGGUCCGUAGGCGGGAAGGUAAGCCAGUGGUGAAAUCCGAUAGCUCAACUAUCGAAUUGCCAUUGGAACUGUCUUUCUUGAGUGGUUGUGAAGUGGCCGGAAUAUGUAGUGUAGCGGUGAAAUGCAUAGAUAUUACAUAGAACACCGAUUGCGAAGGCAGGCCACUAACAGCGUACUGACGCUGAUGGACGAAAGCGUGGGUAGCGAACAGGAUUAGAUACCCUGGUAGUCCACGCCGUAAACGAUGGUCACUAGCUGUCCGGUUGUAAGACUGGGUGGCCAAGCGAAAGUGAUAAGUGACCCACCUGGGGAGUACGUUCGCAAGAAUGAAACUCAAAGGAAUUGACGGGGGCCCGCACAAGCGGUGGAGCAUGUGGUUUAAUUCGAUGAUACGCGAGGAACCUUACCAGGGCUUAAAUGCAGCUUGACAGGGGUGGAAACACCUUUUCCUUCGGGCAAGUUGCAAGGUGCUGCAUGGUUGUCGUCAGCUCGUGCCGUGAGGUGUCAGGUUAAGUCCUAUAACGAGCGCAACCCCUGUUGCUAGUUGCCAUCGAGUGAUGUCGGGAACUCUAGCAAGACUGCCGGUGCAAACCGUGAGGAAGGUGGGGAUGACGUCAAAUCAUCACGGCCCUUACGUCCUGGGCCACACACGUGCUACAAUGGUGGGGACAGAGAGCAGCCACGUCGCAAGGCGGAGCGAAUCUAUAAACCCCAUCUCAGUUCGGAUCGGGGUCUGCAACCCGACCCCGUGAAGCUGGAAUCGCUAGUAAUCGCACAUCAGCCAUGGUGCGGUGAAUACGUUCCCGGGCCUUGUACACACCGCCCGUCAAGCCAUGGAAGCCGGGGGUGCCUGAAGUCGGUCACCGCAAGGAGCCGCCUAGGGCAAGACCGGUAACUGGGGC